rnacentral:rRNA from 1 species
UACGAGGGGGGCAAGCGUUGUUCGGAAUUAUUGGGCGUAAAGGGUGCGUAGGCGGCGCGGUAAGUCGGGUGUGAAAUCUCGGGGCUUAACUCCGAAACUGCAUUCGAUACUGCCGUGCUUGAGGACUGGAGAGGAGACUGGAAUUUACGGUGUAGCGGUGAAAUGCGUAGAUAUCGUAAGGAAGACCAGUGGCGAAGGCGGGUCUCUGGACAGUUCCUGACGCUGAGGCACGAAGGCCAGGGGAGCAAACGGG